UGGGGCAGGGGAGGUGGGGCAGGGUGGCCUGGAGAGGUGACAUCAGCAGAGUGUGGCCAUGUGGGUUUUGCCUCUCCUAAAGCCUGUUCCACUUAAGCUUUUGUGUCCCCAACCCCCAAUGGUCAGUCCCCAGCCCACACCUGCUUGAGCAGCAGCAGCGUUUGGUGCAUCGGAUCCCUCCUGCCUUGAAGCAUUGUCUUCCCAGCUUCCAAGGCUGCUCCUGCUCUCACCUCUGGUCCUGCUUCCUUGCUCACAACUGUCAGUCUAGAUGUGUCCCAGGGCCCUGGCCUUGACUUCUCUGUAUGUUCACUCCCAAGGGCUCCCUUCCAGCUUGGUGGUUGUCCUCCCGUCUGUGUUCUGAUUGUCUCCACAUUGCUCUCUCCAGCCUAGACCCUGUCCCUGAACUGUGGCCUCCUCCAUCCCAUCCUGCUGCCUGCCCACCAUCUCCACCAGCAGGUUGCAGGGGGAGGUUUCUAAGAGGCCUCUCAAAGUCAGCGUGUCCCAAACUGAGCCCUCCACCCGCAUGCCAAACCCAUUCUUCUUUUGCCUUCGCUGUCUCAGUCCAUGGCAGUUUUAUCCUUACAGGUGUUCAAGCCCAGCAUUGUCCCGACCCCCAACCCCCUUCUUCACAUCCACAUCUACUACGUCAGCAUGUCCCGUCUGCCCUGUUGAUUCCGUUAACCCUCGAGAAAUCCCCUAAAUAGCUCAUAACAUACAGUGUACUUGGCUCUGUGCAUGUGAGCCUAUAUAAUAAUAUAUUUGUAGCUGGACACAGUGGCUCACGCCUGUAAUCCCAGCACUUUGGGAGGCUGAGGCGGGCGGAUCACCUGAGGUCAGCCUGGCCAACAUGGUGAAACCCCAUCUGUACUGAAAAUACAAAAAUUAGUCGGGCGUGGUGGUGGGCGCCUGUAAUCUCAGCUACUCGGGAGACUGAGGCAGGAGAAUUGCUUGAAUCUGAGAGGCAGAGGUUGCAGUGAGCCGAGAUCGCGCCAUUGCAUUUCAGCCUGGGUGAUAGAACGAGACUGUCUCAAAAAAUGAUAAUUUUAUAUUUGUAACAGUUACAGAAAUGUGCUGCAUCUAAAAAAAAUAGAUGUGCAAAAUACAGUUCUCCAGUAUUUUAAAUUUUGUGUGAGAAACAGAAUAAUGACAGGUAGAUGGGAUGUAUGGUACACUGGGUUUGAGUGAGCCAUAGGCGUGUCCUGCAGAGCCAAAAGGCCCCAAGCCUCUGUGGAAUGCUCUUGUACCCAAGAAGUCCUGCAGAAGAGGAGCCGCAGGCUCCUUAGGGGAAGAAAUGUCCAUUCUGCAGGGCUCACUGGGUAACUGGAGCAGAAGGAGAGCCAUUAGACCCUAGUAUCUGUGUCUGCGCCUAGGGGUGGAGAGAGUGGUGUCUGCUGGAACCACAGCGGGGCUCAGGGGCUUUUGAGUCCGGGAAGGGUGAUCUUCACUCCAACCUCUUUCUUGGGACCAGGUGAGGCUUCGAGCUCUGAGGAAGAGCCUCCAUCCCCAGAUGAUAAAGAGAACCAGGCCCCAAAACGGACUGGCCCACAUCUGCGCUUCGAGAUCAGCAGUGAGGAUGGGUUCAGCGUGGAGGCAGAGAGCUUGGAGGGUGAGUGGGGGGAGGGGGGGGUGCAGUGACAGGAGGGAGAGUGUCCAUAAAACACCAUCCUGACUCACCUCUGGCUCUGCUGUCUACCCAGGGGCGUGGAGAACUCUGAUCGAGAAAGUGCAAGAGGCCCGAGGGCAUGCCCGACUCAGACAUCUCUCCUUUAGUGGAAUGAGUGGGGCGAGACUCCUGGGCAUCCACCACGAUGCUGUCAUCUUCCUGGCCGAGCAGCUCCCCGGAGCCCAGCGUUGCCAGCACUAUAAGUUCCGUUACCACCAGCAGGGAGAGGGCCAGGAGGAGCCGCCCCUGAAUCCCCACGGGGCUGCUCGGGCAGAGGUCUAUCUCCGAAAGUGCACCUUUGACAUGUUCAACUUCCUGGCCUCCCAGCACCGGGUGCUCCCUGAGGGGGCCACCUGUGACGAGGAAGAGGAUGAGGUGCAGCUCAGGUCAACCAGACGUGCCACCAGCCUGGAGCUGCCCAUGGCCAUGCGCUUUCGUCACCUUAAGAAGACGUCCAAAGAAGCUGUGGGUGUCUACAGAUCAGCCAUCCACGGGCGAGGCCUGUUCUGUAAGCGCAACAUUGACGCGGGGGAGAUGGUCAUCGAGUACUCUGGCAUCGUCAUCCGCUCAGUGUUGACUGACAAGCGGGAGAAGUUCUACGAUGGGAAGGGCAUCGGGUGCUAUAUGUUCCGCAUGGAUGACUUUGAUGUAGUGGACGCCACGAUGCAUGGCAAUGCCGCCCGCUUCAUCAAUCACUCCUGUGAGCCCAACUGCUUCUCUCGGGUCAUCCACGUGGAGGGCCAGAAACACAUUGUUAUCUUCGCCCUGCGCCGCAUCCUGCGUGGUGAGGAGCUCACCUACGACUACAAGUUCCCCAUCGAGGAUGCCAGCAACAAGCUGCCCUGCAACUGUGGCGCCAAGCGCUGCCGUCGGUUCCUUAACUGAGGCCGUGGCUGCCCACCACGACCCCUCACACCUCCUGCUGCCGUCGCUGCCAUCUUGCCCCUAGCCUGGGGGCUCCCUAGCCCCUCCCAGAGCAUCUCACCCCCACCCUUCUGUUCAGGGUGGAUGUGGGCAUGCAGGUGACAAGGGCCCUGCCUCCACCCCUCCAGCCCACCCAGCAAUCGCCCCCUUUCUGCCCUGGGGGCCCAGGAUGUAGAUAUUGUACAAAGGUUUCUAAAUCCCUUCUUUUCUAUGCACUUUUUUAUUUAAGAGGUGGGGUCCCAGGUGGGAACCCCCCCACAAUAAAGUCUGUCAAUGUUUGGA
rnacentral:sRNA from 1 species